UACGUAGGGGGCAAGCGUUGUCCGGAAUCAUUGGGCGUAAAGCGCGUGUAGGCGGCUCGGUAAGUCCGCUCUGAAAGUCCAGGGCUCAACCCUGGGAUGCGGGUGGAUACUGCCGGGCUCGAGUCCGGAAGAGGCGAGUGGAAUUCCCGGUGUAGCGGUGAAAUGCGCAGAUAUCGGGAGGAACACCAAUGGCGAAGGCAGCUCGCUGGGACGGUACUGACGCUGAGACGCGAAAGCGUGGGGAGCGAACAGG
rnacentral:rRNA from 1 species